UACGGAGGAUCCAAGCGUUAUCCGGAAUCAUUGGGUUUAAAGGGUCCGUAGGUUGAUAAUUAAGUCAGAGGUGAAAGUUUGCGGCUCAACCGUAAAAUUGCCUUUGAUACUGGUUAUCUUGAAUCAUUGUGAAGUGGUUAGAAUAUGUAGUGUAGCGGUGAAAUGCAUAGAUAUUACAUAGAAUACCAAUUGCGAAGGCAGAUCACUAACAAUGUAUUGACACUGAUGGACGAAAGCGUGGGGAGCGAACGGG
rnacentral:rRNA from 1 species